GUGCCAUUAAAACAACGGCACGUGACUCACUUUCAAGGGUGAUGCACCUCAACGAAAUCGAGAAAAUCUCUUUCAAUUACGUAUAACAACAAUGACGUUUAGUUUUGUUAAAGUUUUGACACGUUCCGUCUAAAUUGACAUUCGUUUUCAAUAAUAAUAAAAUGCGUUGAAAAUUUCAGUAAAAUGGCGAUGCCAAAAGAUGCCAACAUUUGUAUUUAUUAUUUCGGUAUAUUCGCUAUAGUUUUUUUAAGUAUUUAUUGUUUCAAGAGAAUUAUUUGGAGAUCUAAUGGCACAUGAAGCGAAGGAACAUCAAUUUCUAUCAGAUCUAAUUGCAAUAAAUGUAAAAAUUUGAUACAAUAAAUAAUUCCACCCCGAAA